AUUGAACGCUGGCGGCAUGCUUUACACAUGCAAGUCGAACGGCAGCACGGGCUUCGGCCUGGUGGCGAGUGGCGAACGGGUGAGUAAUGCAUCGGAACGUACCGUGUAGUGGGGGAUAACGUAGCGAAAGUUACGCUAAUACCGCAUACGCCCCGAGGGGGAAAGUGGGGGACCGCAAGGCCUCACGCUAUAUGAGCGGCCGAUGUCGGAUUAGCUAGUUGGUAGGGUAAAGGCCUACCAAGGCGACGAUCCGUAGCGGGUCUGAGAGGAUGAUCCGCCACACUGGGACUGGGACACGGCCCAGACUCCUACGGGAGGCAGCAGUGGGGAAUUUUGGACAAUGGGCGAAAGCCUGAUCCAGCCAUGCCGCGUGAGUGAAGAAGGCCUUCGGGUUGUAAAGCUCUUUCAGACGGAAAGAAGUCUCCCAGGAUAAUACCUUGGGAGGAUGACGGUACCGUAAGAAGAAGCACCGGCUAACUACGUGCCAGCCGCCGCAGUAAAAC
rnacentral:rRNA from 1 species